UACGUAGGGGGCAAGCGUUGUCCGGAUUUAUUGGGCGUAAAGAGCGUGUAGGCGGCCAUACAGGUCCGUUGUGAAAACUGGAGGCUUAACCUCCAGACGUCGAUGGAAACCGUAUGGCUAGAGUCCGGAAGAGGAGAGUGGAAUUCCCGGUGUAGCGGUGAAAUGCGCAGAUAUCGGGAAGAACACCCGUGGCGAAGGCGGCUCUCUGGGACGGUACUGACGCUGAGACGCGAAAGCGUGGGGAGCGAACAGG
rnacentral:rRNA from 1 species